AUGUUGCUCUUCCCAGUCCUUCUUGCAGCUUCUUUUUGGCCCCGUGGAGCCGCGCAGGCGGUGCCGGUGCAAACCCCGGAGCUGCGGAGGCAGCUCGUGGGCAGCUCUGCCAGCAUGGCGUGCAGCAUGAGCACCGCAGCCGUCGUGCACUGGUACAAGCAGCUUCCCGGAGAUCCGCUGAAGAGGAUACUGCACACGUCGGGACAGUCACCUGUGUUUGAUGACAGCAACGACAGAAGGAGAUUUCAGGUUCGGAAACAUCCUUCUGAGCUCAUCUACGGUCUCACGAUAGAUUAUUUAACCCCGAGGGAUUCUGGCACUUACUACUGCGCAUACUGGCCUACCCGGGUAUCACGGUGCUAG